UCGUGGAGUGGUAUUGUGGUGUUGCGUGGUGAAAACCCGCAUCAUCCGCCAACCCAUCCUUGGCUAGGGCCGGUGACUACUACUACGUAGUUUUCGUCGGACCCAGGCCUUUCUGCCACGGUGCCCCCGUAGCAAGCGGACACUCGUUGCUGUUGCUGUUGGUGGUCAUCAUCGUUAUGAUCAUUAGCACAUCAUUAUCNAUGAGGCCGUACNGGUGGUACNGGUCNGCGUUCANGCCACGCUCGAUGUCGUNUUMGUGAUGGCAUCGUCGUGAACAUCCUGGNGCCGGCCGGGAGCUCCACGCUCCGUUUUCAUNGUAUGUAUGUAUGGAAACGGGCACGCAGCGUGGGCGGUUUUCCUCCCCGCUGUGGGGGCUCCCGCAACCACUAUNNUACAUCCUUUAACCUGUGCAAUAGCUUGAUCGUNUAGCACGUCGAGCAAAAUAACAUAGAAUAACACUGUACAAUGGAUNNNNNNNNNNNNNNNNNNNNNNNNNNNNNNNNNNAGCGCGAUAGGUAGUGUGAAUUGCAGAAUUCCGUGAAUCAUCGAAUUUUUGAACGCAUAUUGCGCCCAAGUCUCCGGACUUGAGCAUGUCUGCCUCAGCGUCGUUUUCAAUGGCUUGCCGUGUAUGGCUCUUGCCUGCGUCAGAAAAGUUACCAUAAAGAUAACUAUUAUGACCUGACCGGCAUGAGCUGAAUUUCUGCAAUCGUACUCGUGCGAGGUUGGUAUACUACGUAUCAACCAUCACACGACAUGCGACAGCAGCCAUCCCCGGCACUGUUCAUCGUAAGCAAGCUACCUCGCGUGGCCUCCUGCUUUCUCAUGGGCAAGUGUGAUCACAUCAACAUCACCGCCACGAAUCACAUCGUGGCAUGGUGGUGGUGGAUCAACGGGGCAGCGGUGGCAUCUCGGAUGCUGCAUGUUGUCUGGCUGUCGACACCAUUCGACCUGAGUUCAGGCAGGGUUACCCGCUGAACUUAAGCAUAUC
rnacentral:misc_RNA from 1 species